AAAAGUUGGAAAGAAGAAGAUACAGUAGCAGCAACCGGCGGCAAAAAGAAAAUUAUGUAUUGAUCGCACUCAUUGAAUAAGUUGUUAUUGUUGGUGAAAAAGAAGAUAUUGUCCUCAAUCGGUCAGUGAUUUUGGCCUCUCACGACUCAGACAUGCAACAUAUCCUAUAACAAGAAAGGGGAAAGGAACGGUAAUACAUUCCAUAGCAUUGGUGUGGUAGUUGGAAAAAUAAAAAAGUGUACCUUUUCUAUUGUUAAUUUGUUAUCAUAUACAGACACAAUGGAUGGCUCCAGAGGCUAUCCGUAAUGAGGCAGUAGAUGAGAAGUAAGUUUAAAUUCUUCCAUUGAUCAACAAAAAGAUUAAAUUCUUUUGAUUGCUGAUACAAGUGUAUUAUCUAUCUAGUGACUUUUGUGAUCCUCAAGUUAUCUUAAGGACAGAUUCAAUUCCUAGUAAAAACCGAUUUAGAAUUCAGUAUUCACAGUUGGAAUCUGAUAUUCAAGUCAGUGUCCUAGGCGAUUCUAAAUCCAAACAGGAGUCGAAUUUCCUUGGCCCAACUUAGUUCAUCCAAGGCUAAAAAAAAUUGAUGUUUAGGUGAGAUCUCAACAUAGUGAAACAGAGGCUGUUUCUGUUUGGAGGGUGCUGUGAGGGAGAGAGUCUAAGAGUUGUAACCUUUUGCACAACAUUCAAUAAAGAAGAUAGUUCUCUUCGAACUUUUGUUCUUACUCAUCUUUAAUAGCACUACCUUUUAUUGUGUGUUCAAUGGUGUAACUUUAGCCUAGCUUAUUUGUAUUUGUUGGUUUCCUGUAGUAACAGUUGAUUCUUCCAUUUCUUCUGCUCGGAAAAUCUUACAUUCUCUUGAUUAAUACGGACUAGUUAUUUCCAACAAAGGAAAACACUAAUACGUUGGAUUCUUUUUAGUAAGGUCUGAUGUAUUUAGCUUUGGAGUUAUACUAUGGGAGCUCGCUACGCUGAAAGUUCCUUGGGGUCACUUAAACACAAGUACACAACGCAGCCGUGAUUGCCGCUGUAGGGUUCAUGGACCAAAGAAAUGAGAUACCAGAAGACACUGACCCACAAUGGGCAUCUCUAAUCGAGAGUUGCUGGCACAUGUGCAUGAGAUUUGGCAAAGUAACUGAUUUGAUUUUCUUUCUGCACGCAGUUCUGAUUUUAUAAUAAAUAUUGACACAAUGGUAGUGCUCUAUAAUUUAUGAGUGUUGCCGUUUUCUUAUAAAUCAUCAUUUGACACCUUAGUGACCCGAAAUGCCGCCCAACAUUCAAGGAACUGCUUGGGAAGUUGAAAGAUCUGCAGAUAUAUUAUUCCACUCCAGAGCCCAAGAGAACUCCCUGUUGAUUGUCAUUUUCGAAUUUAUGUGUGUCGAAUUUUCCCUUGUAAUGAACAUAUUUAGAUAUGUAAUAAUAUCAGCGAGUGUAAAGAGACCUCAAGAAAGUAGAUUCGUCCGUGCUAUAAGAGGUAAGUAGGUAGUCUGGAGUUGAGCCGCAAGUCAGCGAUGUAAGAGAGAUUUGUAAAAAUAUACUCCCUCCGUCCCACUACUAUUAGA